CGCAAAAUCAUCCCCACGCUACCUUCGGACAAGCUGAGCAAGAUCCAGAUCCUGAAGCUGGCCUCACGCUACAUCGACUUCCUCUACCAGGUGCUGCAGAGCGACGAGAUGGACGCCAAGCUGGCCAGCUGCAACUACCUGGCCCACGAAAGACUGAGCUACGCCUUCUCCGUCUGGAGGAUGGAGGGGGCCUGGGCAAUGUCCGCCAGCCACUAGGAUCCCAUCGAUACUUCUCUCCUAAAUCCUCUCGUGUCCACAUCUCCACCCCACCGCCCGUGUCUGUGUUUGCACCCACUUCCUGACCUCUGAACCUCUGAAUUCCUCCCUUCUUGGUCUGAUCUUAACCUUUUCAUCUCAAACCUCUGCAUACAUUCCUGCUCCAUCUAUGUGCUCCCUUAUGGUUCACUCCUACUCUACAGCCAGAGUUGGAUCUUUGCAACUAAAACCUCUCACAGUUCACCCUGUUCCCCUCCAUUGCUUCCUCCUCCACUGCUCUCACUUGUCUGUCCCUUGUUAGUCCAGUGCAACAAGACGCUCCACUGCAGCCCCUCAGAAAACCGACAAAUGGAAAAUUCUCUACACUCAAAGAAGAAACGUGUUCCCGCCUCACCAGACAAUCCCCCAUUUUUUGAUCUCUUUCUCUGGACACGUGCUCGACUCAUGACACUGAGAUGUAUUCUUGCAGCUUGACUCUAACAGUUCUGUGUUUCUGAAACACCGGUGAGGAGACACGACAGUCGAGCGCUGAACAUUUUGAAUGACGAAAACAAGGAGAAAAAACAAACAAACAGCUGGCCUGCGUUGACAAUGAAACAAAAUGGCUGCUGGUUUGAGUGCCUUGAGUAACACCGUGAUAACCAUCAUCCUCUUUGCAUCGGAUGACUCACUGCCAGACAGACAUUAAGAUGACUAAUGAUAAUGGCACAGUGAUGGUUAGAGGGCGGUCACAGCCAAUGAAUGUUUACAGCUAAAAUGCUAAUAAGCUAAUCGCUCUGGCUCUCUUGUGGGAAAAAGAGGAGCAUGUGGAAUCUGACGCAGAUCUUCUGCUUUGUUGUGCUGUAGUAACUGGAUAGCUUUCUGUGUACUUUGGGGGUUUAAAGUGUAUCUGUUUGUGAAUUUGGUGUAUGCACACUGUAUAACUUUAACUCUGCUCAUGCAUUACACUUGGCUUUAAUGAAAAUGCCAAUGGGAAAAUGUCUUAAACCACUGAUCACAGUUCAGCCACUAUUCUGUUUAUUUUCACUUUAGCUUUUCUGUUAUAAGUGAGCGUCGCAGAAAGUUGUAUUUUAAAAUGCAAGACGGUCUGAUUAAUGUAUGUCUUUUUCCCGCCGCUUUAAAAAAAUAUCUUUGCAAACUUGCUAAAAACCAUUUUCACUAAAUAAUGCAAAAAAAAUAAAGAACGUUUCUUGUAAAAUGCGCC
rnacentral:lncRNA from 1 species